rnacentral:rRNA from 1 species
ACGGGAGGCAGCAGUGGGGAAUAUUGGGCAAUGGCGAAAGCCUGACCCAGCAACGCCGCGUGAGGGAAGAAGGCCUUCGGGUUGUAAACCUCUGUCCUUGGUGACGAAGGAAGUGACGGUAGCCAAGGAGGAAGCCCCGGCUAACUACGUGCCAGCAGCCGCGGUAAUACGUAGGGGGCGAGCGUUGUCCGGAAUUACUGGGCGUAAAGGGUGCGUAGGCGGCACUUUAAGUUGGAUGUGAAAUACCCGGGCUUAACUUGGGGGGUGCAUCCAAUACCGGAGAGCUAGAGUGCAGGAGAGGAAAGCGGAAUUCCUAGUGUAGCGGUGAAAUGCGUAGAUAUUAGGAGGAACACCAGUGGCGAAGGCGGCUUUCUGGACUGUAACUGACGCUGAGGCACGAAAGCGUGGGGAGCAAACAGGAUUAGAUACCCUGGUA